GAAGUUCAUUGUAGCGCACACGUGACCUGCAUCGGGGCCCUAAUUAAGCACGUGCCACUUCACAAGGACAGUUAUGCAUAGCAUACACAGUAAGGGACAUAUUGAUCAAGGGGGGAAAUAGAGCUCCUCACAAAGGGCCUCAAUUGAAGACCAGGGGGCCUUUGUCAUUGCAGGACAGCAAGGACCCCAGGCUGAGAAAGUAAAUGCGAUUAAUCUACUGUGCUCCAGCUGUUAUCAACUCCAUACUCAGCAACCCAUGGCAGGCCUCAAGUGCAGGGAGUUGCAGUUAAACAAAAGGUGGACAGACACAAGUGUGACAUCUCUGGAUACCUGUUUCCCUGCCUCGCUGACGCACUUAAUGGCUCCAAUAACAGAAAUCUACUGUGGAAACUUCUUCCAUCAUUCAGCGAGGGAUUUUGGAUUUCAGCCCUCAUACUGGAAAAUGUUCUUAGAGGAGUAACUAAGAUAUUUGGACAUGAGCCCAAUAAGCUUGGACCUUGUCAUCAUCUGUGUAUAAUUAACUGCUUUUCCAAUA